rnacentral:tmRNA from 1 species
GGGGGUGAACGGUUUCGACUCUGGACGUUGAUUCAAGGGAAGCGUGCAGGUGCAGGCGAGAGACCACCUCAAGCGUCGCCGCAAAAAAAAUAAGCGCCAAGACUGAAACCAGUCAGGCGAACUACGCUCUUGCUGCCUAAGUAAAAGCGUAGUUUCCUUGUCGGCCCGGGAGUGCCUUCGGCCCGGUUUGCCGGCAUCAUCCAGAAGGCUCACCGCCGUACUCGGUCGCGGAGUGCGGUUGGGAAGCAAACAGCGACUGGGCCCGUCACACCGGCUAGUUCACGAGACCGGCGGGGUCAAGCAGAGGCACAGUGGACUGCGCACGGAGAAGCCUUGGUGAGGCGGCAGAGGACCCGGGUUCGAUUCCCGGCACCUCCACUC